GAUGAACGCUGGCGGCGUGCCUAAUACAUGCAAGUCGAGCGAACAGACGAGGAGCUUGCUCCUCUGACGUUAGCGGCGGACGGGUGAGUAACACGUGGAUAACCUACCUAUAAGACUGGGAUAACUUCGGGAAACCGGAGCUAAUACCGGAUAAUAUAUUGAACCGCAUGGUUCAAUAGUGAAAGACGGUUUUGCUGUCACUUAUAGAUGGAUCCGCGCCGCAUUAGCUAGUUGGUAAGGUAACGGCUUACCAAGGCAACGAUGCGUAGCCGACCUGAGAGGGGGUCGGCCCCCCCGGGAGCUGAGCCCCGUCCCUGCCCCUUACGGAGGGCAGAGAUUGGGAAUCUUCCCCAAUGGGGGAAAGCUUGCCGGAGCACCGCCGGGUGAGUGAAGAAGGUUUUCGUGUCGUAAAACUCUUUUAUUGGGGAAAAACAAAUUUGUAAGUAACUAUGCCCGUUUUAACGUAACCUAUUCAGAAGCCCCCGCCAACUUCCGG
rnacentral:rRNA from 1 species